rnacentral:rRNA from 1 species
UACAGAGGUGGCAAGCGUUGUUCGGAAUUACUGGGCGUAAAGGGCGCGUAGGCGGUCUUGUAAGUCCUGUGUGAAAUCCCUCGGCUCAACUGAGGAACUGCACGGGAUACUGCGAGACUUGAGUUCGGGAGAGGGAAGCGGAAUUCCGGGUGUAGCGGUGAAAUGCGUAGAUAUGGGGAGGAACACCGGUGGCGAAGGCGGCCAUCUGGACGGAUACUGACGCUGAGACGCGAAAGCGUGGGUAGCAAACAGG